rnacentral:lncRNA from 1 species
CUCUGUUGUAAUAUCAUUCCUCACCAUUUACAAAGCCUCCAUAUUCAUAUUUUCUAAUCAUAUAUAAAAGUAGGCAAUAUUAGUGUAUUGUGCACUGUUAUAUAUUUACUCUGGUAGCUGAGAAAAGCUUUCAGCAUAGGACUUCUUUUCUCAUGUCACCAAACCUUACCCAAAGUCCUGUGUGGUAACAUGGUAAUUCAGAAGACUUGAGAUGAUUAUCAACGUCAAAUCCUAAUUGCCUUAGUACAGUAAUACUGUAAUAAAUAAAUGGGAACUGCUUUUAAUUGUAUUUUCUCUCCCCUUACUCUAUGCACUGAAUAUGCAAAGCAGUUCACUUGUAUUUUAUACAGCAAGUAUAUUCAACUUUGAAAUUCUGGGGCCAGAGGAUUUUGUAAAUUCUUCAAAGCCUUCUUUAAAAUUCCCACUUACCACUGCCUCCGGUCUGGACCAAGCCCCAGAGUCAAGCUUCAUCCUAACAACCUUGUUACUUCUCAUUUAGAGACCACUCUGCUGAUCAGCACUUCCCCACCUGGAUUUCCAAGGAUUAUCUCCUCCAACUUUUCUAAUUCCUGGAAGCAACUUUCCAAGAUCAAAUCAUAUAUAACUGCCUAAAGAAAAAUGAGCAUACACCACAAAACCUGUUUCUUUCAGUAGUUGUGCAUAAACUGGCAGAGAGUAGUCAGUAAAGAAAAAAAAGAUAAUCAUGUUACUUAUGUUAUUGAAACACUUCCAUAUGACGAUAACCUAUCACUCUUGAAGAACUUAAUAUCAGCCUCUUUCAAACAUUAUUUAUGGUUAUCUCAAUCAUUUAUUUGGAUUUCUGCUUUAAAAAAUCAUGAACUAUUAAAGCAUACAACAAAUUGAAAGAUAAAGGUGACAUCAAAGUCUAGAGAAUUAAAUGCUUCAUUCUAGUAUUAGAAUUUAGUUAUAAAAUCACAUCAUGGCCUGUUAUACAAAGAUAUUAAGAAAUGGUAGAUUUAAGAAAUAAGCAUGCUUUCAUUUGUAGAUUAUCUACUCAUUUCAAAUUAUAUCAAAUUAAAGCAUACAUUUCUUACCAAACACAAUUAUUACUAUGCAACAUGUUUUGCUAGUUGAGUUUGCUACGGGUUAAUUUUUUAAAAUAUAAUUCAAAAAAACUGUCCUCAAAGCAGGUGUACACUCAAAAAUCAUUUAGAGAUACAAAUAUUGUACAUCAUUGCUAGUUCCUAAACAUGACUAUGGUACAACUGAUCAUUCCUGCUCUAAGAAUAAAAUAGUCAUACUUCAUAUACAAAUUAUUAACUGUGCCUACAGUAAUAUAAUUCUACAAGAAGUUUCAGGCUGAAAAGAAUAGAGGUUUAAAUUGAAGGAACAGUUUGGACUUUUAAUAAUUAUAUUUCACGGGAAAUAAUAUUUCUAAAUUACUGCAUUGCUUAAAUAUAAUAAAUAUGGUUUUGGAUUACCUUAUUAAAUAUAGUUCUUUGAAUUGAUGACUAAAAUACCAAGAUAUUUUGUUAUAAAUGGGCUCCAUGAUUCAGAAGGUGUUCUAAAGUAUUUUAAAGUAUUGACUCAACACUGCAUCUAGUUUUCAUAUAUAUGUUCCUUGCAUAACAAUAAAUUGUUCUUAUGAGAAUAUUUAGACUUUGCAGUUUACCUGGAAAUAGUUUCAAAGAUAUUUUAGAAAUGACAUAAUUCCAAUGUAUAUGCAGU